UACAGAGGGUGCAAGCGUUGUUCGGAAUUAUUGGGCGUAAAGGGCGCGUAGGCGGAUGGCACAGUCAGAUGUGAAAUUCCCGGGCUUAACCUGGGGGCUGCAUUUGAUACGUGUGAUCUAGAGUGAGGAAGAGGGUCGUGGAAUUCCCAGUGUAGAGGUGAAAUUCGUAGAUAUUGGGAAGAACACGGUGGCGAAGGCGGCGACCUGGUCCUUGACUGACGCUGAGGCGCGAAAGCGUGGGGAGCAAACAGG
rnacentral:rRNA from 1 species